rnacentral:rRNA from 1 species
UACGAAGGGGGCUAGCGUUGCUCGGAAUUACUGGGCGUAAAGGGAGCGUAGGCGGACAUUUAAGUCAGAGGUGAAAUCCCAGAGCUCAACUCUGGAACUGCCUUUGAUACUGGGUGUCUUGAGUGUGAGAGAGGUAUGUGGAACUCCGAGUGUAGAGGUGAAAUUCGUAGAUAUUCGGAAGAACACCAGUGGCGAAGGCGACAUACUGGCUCAUUACUGACGCUGAGGCUCGAAAGCGUGGGGAGCAAACAGG